rnacentral:rRNA from 1 species
UUGCCAGCCCGCUCAAGAAACUUAAUGAAUUGACGGGGGCCCGCACAAGCGGUGGAGUAUGUGGUUUAAUUCGAUGCAACGCGAAGAACCUUACCUGGUCUUGACAUCCCGGAGACCCUUAGGAAACUAGGGGGUGCUUCCAUCUGGAAGAAUCUGGAGACAGGUGCUGCAUGGCUGUCGUCAGCUCGUGCCGUGAGAUGUUGGGUUAAGUCCCGCAACGAGCGCAACCCUUGCCUUUAGUUGCCAGCAGUUCGGCUGGGCACUCUAAAGGGACUGCCGGUGUUAAACCGGAGGAAGGUGGGGAUGACGUCAAGUCCUCAUGGCCUUUAUGACCAGGGCUACACACGUACUACAAUGGCCGAUACAAAGGGCAGCGACACUGCGAGGUGAAGCCAAUCCCGUAAAAUCGGUCUCAGUCCGGAUUGGAGUCUGCAACUCGACUCCAUGAAGUUGGAAUCGCUAGUAAUCGUGGAUCAGCAUGCCACGGUGAAUACGUUCCCGGGCCUU